UCGGGAAUUUUGGGCAAUGGGGGAAACCCUGACCCAGCAACGCCGCGUGAGUGAUGAAGGCCUUCGGGUCGUAAAGCUCUGUCAGGAGGGAAGAACGGCACGAUACGAACAAUGUCGUGCUCUGACGGUACCUCCAAAGGAAGGACCGGCUAACUCCGUGCCAGCAGCCGCGGUAAUACGGAGGGUCCAAGCGUUGUUCGGAAUCAUUGGGCGUAAAGCGGGUGUAGGCGGCUUGGCAAGUCGGGUGUGAAAUCCCAGGGCUCAACCCUGGAACUGCACUCGAUACUGCCUCGCUAGAGUCCCGGAGAGGAUGGCGGAAUUCCCGGUGUAGAGGUGAAAUUCGUAGAUAUCGGGAGGAACACCAGCGGCGAAGGCGGCCAUCUGGACGGUGACUGACGCUCAGACCCGAAAGCGUGGGGAGCAAACAGGAUUAGAUACCCCCGUAGUCC
rnacentral:rRNA from 1 species